AACAGAACUGGAGGCUGUAAAUUAAAUAAAGAAUGAGACUGAAGGAAGAAAAAAAACAACCAACAACACAGCAAGUCACAGGACCCAGUGCUGCUCAUGCUUCACACCAGUUUGUCACCACUGACAACGCUUCUGUGGAGCCAUGUGCAAUCCUGCCACACCACUUGCUGUUCUUGUCAUAGCUGCAGGCAGAGGGUCACAUCUCCAGAGCUGCAGACACAGCCCUGCUGCCAGCUGCGACUGCCUGAGUGUCUAUACUGGAUGGUGAAAAGAAGAAUGAAGACGAGACAGCCAGUGCUGUCAGCUUUUCUUCCACCUGAUUCAGGCUUUGGCCAUGCCCUGUAUCUGCUCCAGAAAGCCAAGGCUUCAGAUGAAGGAUGGAAGAAGGAAAGCAGGAGGCUGGGAAAUGAUUUUGGUCAUGUCCACGCUGGCAGGGCCUGAAUCUUGAUAUGUUUGCUAUAUGAUACUACCACAAUUCCUUAAGGAGUAACAUGAUAGUUUUCUGCAGAGGAAUGUUUUCUGAACAUGGCCAAAAUAUGGCAUUUGGAAAAGUGAGCUGCACAUCAUUUCUCCAAAUGAGAAUGCAAAUAGCGGAGAAUGCAAAUAGCUGGCCUUUUAAAGCCUCCCUGAAAAUUUCAUAGACAACUCAGAUCAAUAUGAUUUAAAGGUAAAGAUUUGCAUUUGCAUGACUCAAGGUGGAAAAAUGAGCUAUAGAUCAUGAGCUCAAACUCUUCUAACACAAGAUUUCUUUAGUCUGAUAAAACAAGAUAUGCUGUUUUGAGAGCAAUACUGUCUGAGGGCAGAGCGGGAGUUUAUUCACAAGAAAAAAUAAUGCAGAGAUUGUGGUGACUGCAUGUUGACUUGGUUCCUGCAUUUUACAACCAUUGCUUUAAGAGUAAGUGAUAGAUUUGCAUUUUUAAAACACUAAUUCCCAUCUGCCCCAUGUGUCUUUGUUGAACUCAGUUGACAAAUAUCUGCAGAGGAUGUUAGGAGUGAUGUUACACAAAAUAUCAUACUGAAAAAAAAUUAAUAAUAAAAAUGAAUAACAGUCUCCUUACGUGUUCUCUCCCUUGCUCUUUCCUCAUUGCCAUUGUGCUUCUCUUUCUGUUUGGAUGUGUGGCCACUGGGUGAUUUUCAAAGGCUCCAAAGCCUGGGCCAUUGGUGCAGACUCCCCCAGCAACUCUCCUUUCUCACUGAGAGUAGCUCUGAG
rnacentral:lncRNA from 1 species